UACGAAGGGGGCUAGCGUUGUUCGGAAUUACUGGGCGUAAAGCGUGCGCAGGCGGUUUUGUAAGCCAGAUGUGAAAUCCCCGGGCUUAACCUGGGAAUGGCAUUUGGGACUGCAAGGCUUGAGUGCGGCAGAGGAGGAUGGAAUUCCGCGUGUAGCAGUGAAAUGCGUAGAUAUGCGGAGGAACACCGAUGGCGAAGGCAAUCCCCCUGGGCCUGCACUGACGCUCAUGCACGAAAGCGUGGGGAGCAAACAGG
rnacentral:rRNA from 1 species